rnacentral:lncRNA from 1 species
GUUCUAGGGGAUGUCCUGUGCGCCCUCCCUUCCCCGCCCCAUACACACAGGUAUGCACACUAGAGCAAUACUAAGUGGACUCAGUGGGUUAUAAAACAAAAACAAAACCACCAGGACAGGAAAUUGGGAGUGGAGCAUUUUGGGAGAUACCUGGUACUGUUGAAGUAGGGGACAGUAGGGGUGGAUUUGAUCGGACUGCAUUGUAUAUACAUCUAUUAAAUUCCGGAUAACAGAAGCCAUCGAGACAGUGUCAGCUAAGGGCAUGCUUCCACACCUCAGGCACAAGCUGACAGCAGAUGCACCCUGCCAGGCACCCUUCUCCAUUCCUAGGCUACCGAGCCAGCUCUCCUGCCCCAGAAGUGCAGGACAGAACAGGGCAACGGCACCUUAAAAGAGAGGCCACUCCCAGCUCCAUCCCUCCUCCAGCGUUAACCAGCACCGGAAUGGACAAGCCUAGGUCACCACAGUACCUCCCAUUCAACUUCUUCCCGCCUCCCUCCAAGGCGGACCCGCCCACCCCGCAACGUCCCUCUGGCUGCGCUACAUCCUGGGACCAACCUCCAUGCCAGAGAUGCUACCAGAGCGCGCACAGGACCCGACACUGGCCCAACUUUGGAGAAGACCGCCAGAGAGGGAGACACACACAGGCGCAGAAGAAACACGGAAGCGCCCUUCCCAGAGUCCCUGUUUGUGACGUCGCCGCGGACGAGACUACAUUUCCCACAAUUCUCUGCGAGCGAGUUUCACAAAGCCGUGCUCACUGGCCCAUUGGAAAUGCCCAUAUCAUCUUCAACUCUGGAGAGACCAAAUUCUUUGGUGUAUGUCUAUGGCUGAGAUCAUAUGCUACUUGUCUUCCCAGGUCUGAAAUAAUAGCCCCAUCUACACUGUCAUAGAUAAGCUCUCAUGCUUUGAGGCUAGACAGGACUAAACUGUACAUAUGUGUUAAGAGCCAGACAGGAGGAACAAUAAAUGGCUUUAGAACUCAUGGAGUGCAGCCCACCAGUUAGCACAACCACAAUGGAUGUGUCUCAGAGAGGCAUGGCCCCCAAAACUACAUGCCCGGAGAACUUCAUGCUGUUGUGGAGUUUUACUCUGCUCGUUGCCUUUACAGGCCUCUUAAUCUUGUUGGGGUCUGGAAUAAGUCCCAUAAACCACUCUGACACCAAUCUCAGUCCAACAUGGCUGGCUUAUUGGAUGUAUACCCUGAAAGUGAUUGAUCAGGGACAAAGUAUAGACUUGGGAGCCAAAUUGUGACCACAGCUAGACUCCUAUAGAGCUUUUAAGCCUGAAAUCCGCAAACAUCUAUGCCAACUUAUUCCACUCAUCAAGAUUUAGGGAUGAGGGAUUUCAACUCUGUAUGCUGAAAAAAGACUCACAUACAGCAGUACCUCAAUGUUGCCAGACCCUUUUUAAUCACAGCUGAUUUCUCAGUCCCAGCUAACAAAUACUAAUUGUCCCAGUAAAGUAAUGAGCUC